UACGAAGGGUGCAAGCGUUAAUCGGAAUUACUGGGCGUAAAGCGUGCGUAGGCGGUUUCUUAAGUCUGCUGUGAAAGCCCCGGGCUCAACCUGGGAAUGGCGGUGGAUACUGAGGAGCUGGAGUACGGUAGAGGAAGGUGGAAUUCCCGGUGUAGCGGUGAAAUGCGUAGAGAUCGGGAGGAACAUCAGUGGCGAAGGCGGCCUUCUGGACCAUUACUGACGCUGAGGAGCGAAAGCCAGGGGAGCAAACGGG
rnacentral:rRNA from 1 species